GAGUUUGAUCAUGGCUCAGAUUGAACGCUGGCGGCAGGCCUAACACAUGCAAGUCGAACGGUAACAGGAAACAGCUUGCUGUUUCGCUGACGAGUGGCGGACGGGUGAGUAAUGUCUGGGAAACUGCCUGAUGGAGGGGGAUAACUACUGGAAACGGUAGCUAAUACCGCAUAACGUCGCAAGACCAAAGAGGGGGACCUUCGGGCCUCUUGCCAUCAGAUGUGCCCAGAUGGGAUUAGCUAGUAGGUGGGGUAACGGCUCACCUAGGCGACGAUCCCUAGCUGGUCUGAGAGGAUGACCAGCCACACUGGAACUGAGACACGGUCCAGACUCCUACGGGAGGCAGCAGUGGGGAAUAUUGCACAAUGGGCGCAAGCCUGAUGCAGCCAUGCCGCGUGUAUGAAGAAGGCCUUCGGGUUGUAAAGUACUUUCAGCGGGGAGGAAGGGAGUAAAGUUAAUACCUUUGCUCAUUGACGUUACCCGCAGAAGAAGCACCGGCUAACUCCGUGCCAGCAGCCGCGGUAAUACGGAGGGUGCAAGCGUUAAUCGGAAUUACUGGGCGUAAAGCGCACGCAGGCGGUUUGUUAAGUCAGAUGUGAAAUCCCCGGGCUCAACCUGGGAACUGCAUCUGAUACUGGCAAGCUUGAGUCUCGUAGAGGGGGGUAGAAUUCCAGGUGUAGCGGUGAAAUGCGUAGAGAUCUGGAGGAAUACCGGUGGCGAAGGCGGCCCCCUGGACGAAGACUGACGCUCAGGUGCGAAAGCGUGGGGAGCAAACAGGAUUAGAUACCCUGGUAGUCCACGCCGUAAACGAUGUCGACUUGGAGGUUGUGCCCUUGAGGCGUGGCUUCCGGAGCUAACGCGUUAAGUCGACCGCCUGGGGAGUACGGCCGCAAGGUUAAAACUCAAAUGAAUUGACGGGGGCCCGCACAAGCGGUGGAGCAUGUGGUUUAAUUCGAUGCAACGCGAAGAACCUUACCUGGUCUUGACAACCACGGAAGUUUUCAGAGAUGAGAAUGUGCCUUCGGGAACCGUGAGACAGGUGCUGCAUGGCUGUCGUCAGCUCGUGUUGUGAAAUGUUGGGUUAAGUUCCGCAACGAGCGCAACCCUUAUCCUUUGUUGCCAGCGGUCCGGCCGGGAACUCAAAGGAGACUGCCAGUGAUAAACUGGAGGAAGGUGGGGAUGACGUCAAGUCAUCAUGGCCCUUACGACCAGGGCUACACACGUGCUACAAUGGCGCAUACAAAGAGAAGCGACCUCGCGAGAGCAAGCGGACCUCAUAAAGUGCGUCGUAGUCCGGAUUGGAGUCUGCAACUCGACUCCAUGAAGUCGGAAUCGCUAGUAAUCGUGGAUCAGAAUGCCACGGUGAAUACGUUCCCGGGCCUUGUACACACCGUCCGUCACACCAUGGGAGUGGGUUGCAAAAGAAGUAGGUAGCUUAACCUUCGGGAGGGCGCUUACCACUUUGUGAUUCAUGACUGGGGUGAAGUCGUAACAAGGUAACCGUAGGGGAACCUGCGGUUG
rnacentral:rRNA from 1 species